UACGGGGGGGGGCAAGCGUUGUUCGGAAUUACUGGGCGUAAAGGGCUCGUAGGCGGCCAACUAAGUCAGACGUGAAAUCCCCAGGCUCAACCUGGGAACUGCGUCUGAUACUGGAUGGCUUGAAUUCGGGAGAGGGAUGCAGAAUUCCAGGUGUAGCGGUGAAAUGCGUAGAUAUCUGGAGGAACACCGGUGGCGAAGGCGGCAUCCUGGACCAUUACUGACGCUGAGGAGCGAAAGCCAGGGGAGCAAACGGG
rnacentral:rRNA from 1 species